rnacentral:rRNA from 1 species
UACGAGAGGCCCAAACGUUAUUCGGAAUUACUGGGCUUAAAGAGUCCGUAGGCGGCGCAGAAAGUAGGGUGUGAAAGCCCUCGGCUCAACCGAGGAAUUGCGCUCUAAACUACUGUGCUUGAGGAACCUAGAGGUGAGCGGAACUGAUGGUGGAGCGGUGAAAUGCGUUGAUAUCAGGAGGAACAUCGAUGGCGAAGGCAGCCCCUUGGACCUGUACUGACGCUCAUGGCAACGAAAGCCGUGGGGAGCAAACAGG